GCACCGCCGAAGAGUCCCUUAAUAGGACGAAACGGCCGUCCAGUGC
rnacentral:hammerhead_ribozyme from 1 species